UACGGUAGGAGACGAGCGUUGUCCGGAAUUACUGGGCGUAAAGCGCGUGUAGGCGGAUGAGCAAGUCUGCUGUGAAAGCUCCUGGCUUAACCGGGAGUGGUCGGUGGAAACUGCUCGUCGUGGAGGACGGUAGAGGUAGGUAGAAUUCCCGGUGUAGUGGUGAAAUGCGUAGAGAUCGGGAGGAAUACCUGUGGCGAAGGCGGCCUACUGGGCCGGACCUGACGCUGAGACGCGAAGGCGUGGGGAGCGAACGGG
rnacentral:rRNA from 1 species